GUUGAAACACUGGUUCUCAUUCGAUCAGCGAAGUUAAGUAACGUAGAGUUUAGUCAGUACCUAGAUGGGUGACUGCUUGCGAAUACCA